UUUGACCACUUUCUUCAGCUGGCCAUUAAGACCCAAAAACGAAAAAUAGGCGACAUAUUUGGGCCAUAUUAAUUAUGCAUCUAUUAAUUUGAAGUGCAUUAGCAGAGGGGAGCCGACAAGAAAAUCUGUAUGCUAAUAAAGGAAAUAAAAUCAAGCCAUUCGCACCAUUUUUCCAAAGCAAUUAUUUCAAGUUAUAGCCGUUUGUUACACAAAUCUCUUCUUUUCUGUUUUCAAAUAUUAAAAUUAAUAGUAAAUCCACAAAAAUAUCUACAAAUAGUGCUUUCUAGAAUUUCGAGCAUAUCCAUGGAUCGUGACCCGUUUUGAGUCGAGAAGAGGCAAUGUUCCAGGACAAAUAUUGGGUAAAUUAUCAUGUAUUGGUCAAUAAAUGUGGUAUAUUCAGGCUCAGAAAAGAUUUUCCUAUAACAUGAGCUACAAUUCAUCACAGUAUAUGCCCUGAAUUCUAAUAUAUUCAAAGAAGUGUAAAUUAGAGUUGCAGUUCUACACGGCUCCCGCAGCACACUUCACACACGAUAUCUCAAAAACGAAAGAGAGUCGCGGUCUAUUUAAAACGUCAAAAACGCAGAACUCAUUUUCAUAUAAGCAUGUGAUUUCUUUAAAAGAGAAUCGUACGGUAAGACAUUGAAUUUUGCUCCCAAAUAUGAAACUUUGCAUUUGUCUGUCACUUAAUUUUGAACAAAACGGACAUUUUGUAUAGAUCUUCCGCUAGUUGCUACCAAAAUUAUACCCUAUCCGACGGAGAAACUAUUUUUCUUUUUUAUCUGUGCAUGAUUAUGGGCAUAAAUAAUCGACAGACCAGAAAUUUUGCGUCUAAGGUAAGUCACCAUUGCAUUUGCAGAAAGUGACGCUUUCACCUUCCCUGGAUGAUUUCUCAAAAACAAGAGGGAGUCGCGAUCUAUUUAAAGCUGAAAAAUGUACAGAAUUGAUUAUUCUAUCGAUGGUGAGAAUAACAAAGACCAAAGCAUACGGUAAGACACCUCAUUUUGACCUCAAAGCCAUAAAAAUGUUUUUUAAUGUGAGGUACGUCGAAUUGCAAUGGCGUAAUUUUAUGUUCGACGUUCCUGCUAAUGAUGCAUCCGCUUUAAUACUUCUGCGUUUGUAGGCGUGAUUCGAUGUUUGAUUGGUCCAGAGCAGCUCAGAUUCGGAGCAACAACAGCUUGACAAACAUUUUUCGUCUUUGUUGUGUAUUGUCACGCAUUGUAGUGUCAUGGAUGGAGGUUCUUUCAUGGUAUUGUAAUAGGUACAUACACUUGGUUUAAAUUUAAUUUGAUUUGAUAAAUUUGAGCCAAUUCUUAGUGUUAUGGGAGUUGUCUUGCAAGUUCCCACAAGCCCAAAUAUAUUUUUUUUUUUCAGUGAAAAGUAACACUAUGAAAAAGUUGAUGCUGGAUGGUUUAAGAAAAUGCCUUAUGGUCAAAGUCGUGUGUUCCUUACAUCAAGCACUCAAAGCAUCACUGUGAAGAGACAUCAGACAAGGGUCAAGGUGAGGUGUUUGUGUGGAAACCCCAUUACAUCAUCAAGAGGGAGACCGCACUGACAGGGGUCCAAGAUCCAUCUCAGGCCCUACUGUAGACUGCCCGCCAGCAGACGGAGGCCCACCGACGGACGUCGGCUCAAUGGCCAACAGUGGCCCGCCGGCCGGCUGACGGUGGCUCGCCGACCGACGCCGGCCCGUCGGCCGACCACGGCCCACCAGUUGAUGGUGGCCCGCCAGCUGACGGAGGUCCGCCGGCCAUUCGUAGCACGCCCGCCGACGGCAGCUCGACGCACAUCCUGGCCUUAACUAUUAUAGCUAUGUCACCCCCAAGAUUAGUUCGCCCCCCCCCCCCCAAGUCCCUAGGUGAGUGGCUGGAGAGUGGAGAGAACUUUGUGUGUUGCCGGGAGGGGAUGUCUGCUAAUGCAGGUGCCGUUGCAGGGGUCGUGACGUAUGAUGGGUCUCAGACUCGGGCUUCGACUUUUGAGUGAGAAACGGAUAAACAUUGCAAUUAUUGCAAUUAUGGCGAAGUGUGCGACAGGAAACGCUAUGAGCUAUGAGUUAUCGUCGCCGUGGCGGAAAUUUGAGGACCGUCGCAACCUGUGACGUCGCCAUGACUGCUAAUUGACGGUCGCCUUGACUCGUGUGUAACGGUCACUGUGCCUGGUAUGUGACGGUCGCCAUGACUGUUUAUAUAACGGCCUCCGUGACUGUUAAUAAAACGGCCGUCGCGACUGAAACGUGACGGUCGUCGUGAGAUCUGACGUGUCGCGACUCGCUGUGUCACACUCACAGGUCACCAGUCGCGGGCGCUCCAUCUGACGGUGUCGUCCGACGGCUCCACGAGAGCGCCGCGGAAACCAUCCGACCCCGAAAAUGCUGCUAGCCGUACACGAACAAAAGGCGCCAAGCACCUAGGACCAGCGCCCUGCUCCGAGGCGGUGUCCAAAGAAGGUCGCACAGUGCACUUGCUGUGCGAAGGUGUAGUGCGCGCUGACUGAUAGGAAAAACUGACGGUUGGUUAUUAGAUCUCAGUAUGGAACUCAAGAUGGUCGGAGCCGACCUGGCUCGGUGGAUGGUGUGCCAGGGUUAAUUAAGUGUCAAAAUGAGUGAGACGCUCAGAUAUCUGAAGGAUAUGUCGAUACGAGUCCCGGCUUCGACUCCCCGUCCCAAAACGGUGUUGGCUAUGAUUGGAUUUUGGUAUUUUUACGGACUCCCCCUCCCCCCCCCCCCCCCACCCCCACACGCAAUUUGUGCUAUGUAAUAGGACGAUAAUAUGCCGUGGUCUCAUUCUGGCUCGAUAUCGUAAUAGGCACUUAAUUGGACAGAUGUUGGUGGAUGUAAAUGGCAGGUUUAGCUAGCGCGAUAUUAGUAAUCGUGGGUGCACUAGCUGCAAUCAGUCGCGCGCUUCUUGCAGAGCACCUGUGAGCAAUAAAAUUAUAUGAAAGGGCAGUUUGUCGUGAAACCUGUGUACUUUUGGAUUAAGUUAUCAGAACAUAAAUGUAUUUUUGAUGUCCACUGCAGCUCUGGAACAGAAACAUGGAGAUCGGCUGUUCGCUGUAGCAGGGGCCAAAAAAAUCCAAGGUGAUAUGUGAUUUUAAGUGAAUAUAGGUAUCUCACUGUAUUUUCAA